GACGAACGCUGGCGGCGUGCCUAAUACAUGCAAGUAGAACGCACAGUUUAUACCGUAGCUUGCUACACCAUAGACUGUGAGUUGCGAACGGGUGAGUAACGCGUAGGUAACCUGCCUGGUAGCGGGGGAUAACUAUUGGAAACGAUAGCUAAUACCGCAUAAUAUUGAUUAUUGCAUGAUAAUUGAUUGAAAGAUGCUAUUGCAUCACUACCAGAUGGACCUGCGUUGUAUUAGCUAGUAGGUGAGGUAACGGCUCACCUAGGCGACGAUACAUAGCCGACCUGAGAGGGUGAUCGGCCACACUGGGACUGAGACACGGCCCAGACUCCUACGGGAGGCAGCAGUAGGGAAUCUUCGGCAAUAGACGAAAGUCUGACCGAGCGACGCCGCGUGAGUGAAGAAGGUUUUCGGAUCGUAAAGCUCUGUUGUAAGAGAAGAACGGGUGUGAGAGUGGAAAGUUCACGCUGUGACGGUAUCUUACCAGAAAGGGACGGCUAACUACGUG
rnacentral:rRNA from 1 species